rnacentral:rRNA from 1 species
UCCGGUUGAACCUGCCGGUCCCGACCGCUAUCGGGGUGGGGCUAAGCCAUGGGAGUCGUACGCCCCGCCGCUGCGGGGCGUGGCGGACGGCUGAGUAACACGUGGCUAACCUACCCUCGGGAGGGGGAUAACACCGGGAAACUGGUGCUAAUCCCCCAUAGAGGAGGGGGCCUGGAAGGGUCCCUCCUCGAAAAGGUGUGGCGGGGGUUAACGCUGCCGCACCGCCCGAGGAUGGGGCUACGGCCCAUUAGGUAGUUGGCGGGGUAACGGCCCGCCAAGCCGAUAAUGGGUAGGGGCCGUGAGAGCGGGAGCCCCCAGAUGGGCACUGAGACAAGGGCCCAGGCCCUACGGGGCGCACCAGGCGCGAAACCUCCGCAAUGCGGGAAACCGUGACGGGGCCACCCCGAGUGCCCCCUUACGGGGGCUUUUCCCCGCUGUAGGAAGGCGGGGGAAUAAGCGGGGGGCAAGUCUGGUGUCAGCCGCCGCGGUAAUACCAGCCCCGCGAGUGGUCGGGACGAUUAUUGGGCCUAAAGCGCCCGUAGCCGGCUCGACAAGUCUCCUCCUAAAUCCUCGGGCUCAACCCGAGGAUUGGAGGAGAUACUGUCGAGCUAGGGGGUGGGAGAGGCCGAGGGUACUCCCGGGGUAGGGGCGAAAUCCUAUAAUCCCGGGAGGACCACCAGUGGCGAAGGCGCUCGGCUGGAACACGCCCGACGGUGAGGGGCGAAAGCCGGGGGAGCGAACCGGAUUAGAUACCCGGGUAGUCCCGGCUGUAAACGAUGCGGGCUAGGUGUUGGGUGGGCCUAGAGCCCACCCAGUGCCGCAGGGAAGCCGUUAAGCCCGCCGCCUGGGGAGUACGGCCGCAAGGCUGAAACUCAAAGGAAUUGGCGGGGGAGCACCACAAGGGGUGGAGCCUGCGGUUCAAUUGGAGUCAACGCCGGA